AGAGUUUGAUCCUGGCUCAGGACGAACGCUGGCGGCACGCCUAACACAUGCAAGUCGAACGGACUUAAAAGAGCUUGCUUUUUUAAGUUAGUGGCGGACGGGUGAGUAACACGUGAGCAACCUGCCUUUCAGAGGGGGACAACAGUUGGAAACGACUGCUAAUACCGCAUAACAUAUAGAUGUCGCAUGGCAUUUAUAUCAAAGAUUUAUCGCUGAAAGAUGGCCUCGCGUCUGAUUAGCUAGUUGGUGAGGUAACGGCCCACCAAGGCGACGAUCAGUAGCCGGACUGAGAGGUUGAACGGCCACAUUGGGACUGAGAUACGGCCCAGACUCCUACGGGAGGCAGCAGUGGGGAAUAUUGGGCAAUGGGCGAAAGCCUGACCCAGCAACGCCGCGUGAAGGAAGAAGGUCUUCGGAUUGUAAACUUCUUUUAUCAGGGACGAAGUAAGUGACGGUACCUGAUGAAUAAGCCACGGCUAACUACGUGCCAGCAGCCGCGGUAAUACGUAGGUGGCAAGCGUUAUCCGGAUUUACUGGGUGUAAAGGGCGCGUAGGCGGGGAUACAAGUCAGAUGUGAAAUCUAUGGGCUUAACCCAUAAACUGCAUUUGAAACUGUAUCUCUUGAGUGCUGGAGAGGUAGAUGGAAUUCCUUGUGUAGCGGUGAAAUGCGUAGAUAUAAGGAAGAACACCAGUGGCGAAGGCGAUCUACUGGACAGUAACUGACGCUGAGGCGCGAAAGCGUGGGGAGCAAACAGGAUUAGAUACCCUGGUAGUCCACGCUGUAAACGAUGAUUACUAGGUGUGGGGGGUCUGACCCCUUCCGUGCCGGAGUUAACACAAUAAGUAAUCCACCUGGGGAGUACGGCCGCAAGGUUGAAACUCAAAGGAAUUGACGGGGGCCCGCACAAGCAGUGGAGUAU
rnacentral:rRNA from 1 species